rnacentral:rRNA from 1 species
CUGUCUCAAAACGAACGCUGGCGGCGUGUUUUAGGCGUGCGAGUCAAACGGUUUAUUUUGGUGUAACAAUACCUCAAUAAGAGCAGUGGCGAAGGGGAGAGUAACACGUGAACACUCUACCUCAAAUUUGGAAAUAACCCCGAAAAAACGGGUAUUAUGCCAUAAAACACUAUGAAAAGGCCUUUUUUUAUAGUUAAGGGGGGGGACCGUAGGGUCUGUCUUUUUGGGAGGAGUUCGCGCCCUAUCAUCUAGGGGGAGAGGAAGGGGCUCCCCAGGGCUAACAGGGGGAGGGGGUCUAAGAGGAGGGUCAGCCACUGUGGCUGUGAGACUGGGGCCAGACUCCUAGGGGGGGGUGCAGUCGAAAAUCUUUCGCAGUGGGAAAAACCCUGAAUAUGCCACCCCGCGUGCGAGAUGAAGGUUUUCGGGUCAAAAACUGGUGUAGAACGGAAAAAAAAUUUAUCAACUAACACCUGAUAAAAUUGACUGCACCGUUAGAAGAAGCCCCGGAUAACUACGUGCCAGCACCCGCGGAUAUACAUAGGGGGAGAGCGUUGCUCAUAUUUACUGCGCGUAAAGGGCGUGUAUGUGGUUGUGCAAGUCAUAUGAGAAAGCUCUUGUCUUACCCAGGGAAGUGUAUUCGACACUGCGUGUCUAGAGCU